rnacentral:lncRNA from 1 species
CUUGAUCUAGGAGCAUCAAUUUGACACCUGCGGGGGGCUAGCUUAAAAAUACCUCAUCUGUGCUGCAUAACAUUUGUGCGGCAGUCCCUUUGUAUGAUUUUAUGUAUUUGAAAAACUGUAUGUUGUGUACUUGUGAUAUCUGCAUUUAGAAGUAUCUGCAUCUGUGGAAUUAGAUAUGACUUAUGUGUAUUUGAAAAUUUGUAUGUUGUGUUUUUCUUGUACUGCUGAAGAUAGAAUUUGGUGUAAGUUCUGAUGCCUGUAUUUAGAAGCUAGCAUUCGCAUCUGGAAAAUCGGUUGCAAGAGAUUAGAGCUACUGCCAUACUUUAGUUUUUUUUGGAAGGGAUACUUAUGUUUAUCUGUAUAUCCUGCUAAAACAAAAUGUAGUUUGUUUCAAUAUUUAUCUGUGCAAACGCAUGCACAGGUCAGAUCACCUGAAAGCUUUGGCCUCUUUGGUUGAAACUAGCAUAGCCCGUGCGAUGGCACGCUGCGCCUGAUGAUGCAUUAUAUUUAUACGGAUCGUAAAGGCCAUUGUUAUAUUUUUAAUGAUAGAAUUGCAUAACUAAAACCCAGAAAGAGUUCUAAAAGGUGGAAAAUGAGUACAUUUAUUGCAGCCAUGUAUGAUAAAUACUGAUCAACAGAAGUGUACACGCUACUCAUAAGGUCUACUUAUUGGCACAUUAUAAAGACCGUUCUACUUGGUCACGGUUUAGAAGGCGCGCUUGGAAAUUCUCUGGAACCUAGGUGGUUAUCUAUUGGUUGUGAGAUGGGCUAAAAAAUAACAUUCGCACUACGCAUGCAUAUAGAAAUAGUAUAUCGGAGUACUAAUUAGCUACUAGAAAUAAAUGCAAUACGCCCUAAACCUUGUCUAUUGUGGAAACGCACGCAAAUUUAACUGUGCCUUCUAAACUGUGACGGAGGAAGUAUGGAACAUACCAUAUACAAUGAUGCAACUGCAUAAAAGUAAAUGAUUGCGGAUGGCCUAAUUGAGUUAAAUCAUCCUAGUGUAGCCUCCUGUAAGAUAGUUUGUAAUGAAAUAGUCAAGAGCUUUUGCAAAUUCCUCUACCUGUUCAACGGGUGUCUUAGCUCUUUUAUAUGUAAUGAUGGGUUCAUCUCUAUGAGGACGUUGGGAUACAUGCGAAGAAGUGCCACGUCGGAGAAAUCAUUGCAUAUUAUCGCCAAAAUCAUUAUUUAUCUUGCAAAUUCAUUCUGUUGGGUACUUACUUGCUAGCGAGCCAUGUUAAAUUUCCAUGCCCGUGCGGUGGCACGCCGCGCCUAUUGAUACUUUAUGUGAGAAAUUCUAUGUACAAUAAUAUUAAACUUCAUAUACCAAUUAUUUAAUUAUUUUAUUCACUUUUUACGUGUUCACUUCAAAUUUUAUAUUAUGGUGUAUGUAAAAAAAUUAUAUUGGUACAAAUGCUAUAAUCUUUCAUAAAGAAAAUUUUUAUUGAAUGAAAAGAGUCAGUAUAUUAAUUGUACAUAAAGAGAAUACAUAUUGAUAUUGCAUGAUAAAUUUCUGAUUCCUUGGUAAUUCAAGGCAUCCUUGUUUGACCGCCCAUUGGUUUUGUGUUCGUAAUGAAAUGAUAGCUGAGGAAGUUCACAUCAGUAGUUAACAUGAUAGAGCUUGUAUAUGGGGCAGUUGUUCGUAAGAAAAACAGAUUGUUAAUGCCUUGCAAUUGCUUCCGGCUUUUCACCCCGCAAGGGUCUUAUUAUGUAAGUUAAUAGUAUGUCAUCCAAAUUCAUCAUAGCUUGAUGCAUCCAUACAAUAAAUAUGAGAAGGGAUCGUUCAGAAAAAAAUAUGAGAAGGGGUUAAAACCAUAUCUCUAGUAUUGAUGCCUACAUACAACAAAUAUGAUAAGGGGGUAAACCCAUAUUAUUCAGUCUUGAUGCUUGCAUAGAACAAAUAUUAGAAGGGAGUAAAUCAUGGUCAUCCCAAAAACCAUAUCAUCAAAUUAACAGCAGAUGCAGCAAAUCACACGGGACCAUGAAGAAUAUAUCCCACACCGGAACCACCGUGGGUUUAACGGUUGCAAAUUCCUGCACCAAGGACAGAUAGUAAAUGUUUGCAGUAAUGAUGAAAGGGAUACUAUACCUUAAGAGCACAAAAAAAAACUAAAGCUAAAUAACACCAAUCAGUUAGUGGCCAUCUCUGAACCUUUAGUCUACAAGAAAAGGCUUCAAAAUAAUCGACAGAAGCAAUCCCUGUAUGGAUUAUCAAGAAGAAAGAGGAUCAGGAGAAACCUUGUCUCAUUACAUAGCAAUGAUAGCACCAAAAUUUUGACCACUUGCAAAUCUCCCCCGCUAUUGAGCUGCACAAAAAAUAUGAGAGAGAGAGAGAGAUGAUCACACGAACCUGGACGUAUGCGAAACCUCGUCGGACCAUGCAAGGGGAUACAACGCGGAUGGCAUGCAUCGCGGUUUGAGUGCACUUCAUGUUCAAUAGCAUCACAUAGCAGUGCAGUGCGCAACGCCAGGCCGUGCCUUGCUGAUGGACGUUUCACGUUGAGAUCCACGUACUCAUCCACAUGCCCACAACAUCAUCAGCAACAGCCGAUCCUGGCUAACAACGGACCACUCCGGCUCCAGUCGCUCCUGCGCAGUGUGGCCGCCUUCGAGACCAUCCUACUGUCUGCCUCCCCUCCGCCCCGACGCUGCAACCUAACCCCUUGUCGGCGCCACAGAGCAACCUGCUGUCUGCUGCACCAGGAGCAUCCGCCCUCGCCAUUGUCACACCGCUCGCACCGGCAAGUGAUCGUUAUCCGGCGGUGGUGAUGCCGUCGUCGUUGUCAUUGAGUUGUUGCCGCAGGAUUUAUGCUCCCCGAAUAGGGCGUCCUACUACGUCCGAGCGGAGACCAUGGCCCCGCCAAGGGGAUACGCAAGCGUCGGCCGCCGGGACACCCGGUUUCCGCGCAGCCCGUAACCAAUCGACAACAUCUUCGACGUAGUCACUGUCGGCCGCGGACGGCCGGUUGGACGGACUCACGGCGAUGCCGGAGCCGAAGCUGUGGCUGAUCCUCACCAGGCCCGCCAGCACCGCAAAGAAGGUCAGGGGAGAUUACGAGGCCCGGGGCAGCAACAGCGAGUUGCCGACAGCCAGGGCGCGGCGGCGGCAACGGCCGAUCAUCAGAGGACGAAGCAUGCUCCAUACAUACGGGCCGAGCCGAGACAACGAUCGGCGCAACAAGACAACCCGAACCACCACACCGGCCAACCAGAGCUCCCCGCGACGGAGGAGGCCGAGCAGGACGCCGCGUUCCAUUACGACAGGAAGAAGGAUAUACCAUAGAAACAAUAUAUGCUAACCCAAAAAAAAAAC